UUCUUUACUGUACUCUACUGUGUUUCUUUACUCUACUCUACUGUGUUUUCCUUACUGUACUCUACUCUGUUUCUUUACUGUACUCUACUGUGUUUCUUUACUGUACUCUACUGUGUUUCUUUACUGUACUCUACUGUGUUUCUUUACUGUACUCUUACUGUGUUUCUUUACUGUACUCUACUGUGUUUCUUUACUUGUACUCUACUGUGUUUCUUUACUGUCCUCUACUGUGUUUCCUUACUGUACUCUACUGUGUUUCUUUACUGUACUCUACUGUGUUUCCUUACUGUACACUACUGUGUUUCUUUACUGUACUCUACUGUGUUUCUUACUGUACUCUACUGUGUUUCUUUACUGUACUCUACUGUGGUUUCUUUACUGUACUCUACUGUGUUUCCUUACUGUACACUACUGUGUUCUUUACUAUACUCUACUGUGUUUCUUUACUCUACUCUACUGUGUUUCCUUACUGUACUCUACUGUGUUUCCUUACUGUACACUACUGUGUUUCUUUACUGUACUCUACUGUGUUUCUUUACUGUACUCUACUGUGUUUCUUUACUGUACUCUACUGUGUUUCUUUACUGUACUCUACUGCGUUUCUUUACUGCACUCUACUGUGUUUCUUUACUGUCCUCUACUGUGUUUCUUUACUGCACUCUACUGUGUUUCUUUACUGUACUCUACUGUGUUUCUUUACUGCACUCUACUGUGUUUAUUUACUGUACUCUACUGUGUUUCUUUAGUGUACUCUACUGUGUUUCUUUACUGUACUCUACUGUGUUUCUUUACUGUACUCUACUGUGUUUCCUUACUGUACACUACUGUGUUUCCUUACUGUACUCUACUGUGUUUCUUUACUGUACUCUACUGUGUUUCCUUACUGUACACUACUGUGUUUCUUUACUGUACUCUACUGUGUUUCUUUACUGUACUCUACUGUGUUUCCUUACUGUACACUACUGUGUUUCUUUACUGUACUCUACUGUGUUUCUUUACUGUACUCUACUGUGUUUCCUUACUGUACACUACUGUGUUUCUUUACUGUACUCUACUGUGUUUCCUUACUGUACUCUACUGUGUUUCUUUACUGUACUCUACUGUGUUUCUUUACUGUACUCUACUGUGUUUCUUUACUGUACUCUACUGUGUUUCCUUACUGUACACUACUGUGUUUCUUUACUGUACUCUACUGUGUUUCUUUACUGUACUCUACUGUGUUUCCUUACUGUACACUACUGUGUUUCUUUACUGUACACUACUGUGUUUCUUUACUGUACUCUACUGUGUUUCUUUACUGUACUCUACUGUGUUUCUUUACUGUACUCUACUGUGUUUCUUUACUGUACUCUACUGUGUUUCUUUACUGUACUCUACUGUGUUUCCUUACUGUACACUACUGUGUUUCUUUACUGUACUCUACUGUGUUUCUUUACUGUACUCUACUGUGUUUCCUUACUGUACACUACUGUGUUUCUUUACUGUACUCUACUGUGUUUCUUUACUGUACUCUACUGGGCUCAUGUAAUUAUAAAACAUUAG
rnacentral:lncRNA from 1 species